CUAAUGGGAGAACUGGACCAAAUCGCUAAAAUAUAAAGAAGGAGGUGGUGUUGUUGACUUUGGAAGGUUUUAUAUCUUAGCAAGCGGAGAGAGUUCCAGGCCAGUACACUUUCUGGUUGAUCUUUCGGACCUGCUUUUGGCAUCCAAAUCCAAAGUCCUCAUAGCUACCAAAGAAACGAAUAAAAAGGAGAAAAAUCCAGAGUGAUGAGGAUCAUCAUGGGAGCACUCAAAGAUGGAGUCCUGAGCCACUGGGGUUGUCAACUGGACCAAUUACUAGAGUUCAUGCAAAGAAGUUUAAAAAUGCAUUAAACGGUCUUAUCCCGGACAUACUUAUCAAUCAAGAAUGUAAGAGUUUUUCUAAGGAAAAAUCAAAACUGGCAACAAUAUUGAGCAUUGAAAGCUAUAGAUAUGAAGGCAUGAAGGAAGACAAUAUUAGGGGCAAUUUGGUAAUUUUUCACUAGUACGAUGACAUGGCAUCUUUGGACACGUGGCAUGACAUGUGGUAUUUAAGUGGUUGUCUAACAUGGCAUGAAAAGAAAGAAAUCAACUUGUUUCUUUUUUAGGCUAAUUAUGUAUCUUACUUGAUCAUUAAGUUAUUUGUUCUCCAAGUUUUACAAUUUUAGUCAUAUUUUAAUUUAGUUGGAUGAUCAAGAUUGGAGGUGAAGUAGGAGAGAGUCCACGUAAAUAGUCUAAAUGCGUAAAUUUUAUUGAAACUUACCUUCAAAAUGGAAGUUUCUAAAUAAACCCAAAAAAGACCCCAAAAAAAUAAAAAAUGAGUGCAUCCAUUUUCUUUAUAAAUAUAGACACAGACGUGCAGAUUUUUAUUAGAUAGACGUGACAGUACUAUGUUAAAAAUCUAUCGAUUAACCUUUUAGAUGUAAUUUUAGAAGGUAGAUUCCAUCUAAUUAAACAAACUCUAAGUAAAUUUAAUAUUUGUGCUCAUAGACUUAAAUAUACUAUUAUUAGGUAACAUACCAUUAUUAGGUUUCAUUAUAUUUGUUUUGGCGAGUACACCAUUAUCUUUACCUGACAAAAAAAUUUGUUGUGUAUGUAUAUCCAUAUAUACAUAUGUUUUAUUUACAUGUAAUUAUCUGCCAGUGGAAACGUAUUAAUAUGUCAAGUAAUAAUGGUUUUUACAUCUCUAAUUUAGCUUUCAUUAUUAUUUUUAUUUCUUUUAUUUUUUAAGGAACAUUAGCCGAGUGUCAUCAGAAAAGAUAAUUAAUAGGAAAACAGUUCUCUGUACAUGAUAUAUUAUAUAUUUUUGUUUGAUAUAGAGUGCUUAUAUAAUAUAUAAAUAUAUAGUAGAAGAAAAGUUCUCUAUAUAUAAUAUAUUUUUGUUUGAUUUAGAGUGCUUUCAUGUGUGUGUGUAUAUACAAAUAAUGAUAAUUCACAGCUAUUACAUGUACAUAUCUAAAAGAUGUGGAUGAUUGUCUUCACACUCUCAUUAUGUAAAAUUAAUCUAUAUAUAUAUAUAUAUAAUAAUAAUCACAAGCGGCAUUAAUUAGAAACACUCCUUAAAAUCUAUCACAUAUAUGUUGUAGGUUGGCUUGAUAGGUCCACAGCAUAGCUUAGAGCUCCAAUAAAAGUCGAGAGAAAGUAAAAAAAGAGGAGUUUAUGUUUGUGAGAAAAUGGGAGAUUUUACAUCGAUUAAUGAUUCACCCUACACCAUUAUCAUUUUAAUGGAGAAAACCAUGGUUAUUCAUCAUAAUCAACCCCAUAAAUUCUGAUAUAGUUUUGUCACAUCUUUGAACCGUAAAUCUGAUUUGUCUUAAGGAAGAUAAUUUUGUAAACGACAAUGAAAGCACAGAAAAAUAGGA